UUUUUCUCAAUUCACACCAUUCCUUUCUAUUUUCAAAACUUAUCCUUUUCAUUUCUUAAAACAUCUCAAUACCAGCUUGUCAAUACUUUAAACAUAAUGACAAAACCUUGAAGUAAGGUUUAAAGGGAAUUCAAUAAAGUUGACUAGUAAUCAAGUUUCAUGCUUCAACGUCAUAUACGCAAAAGGACAGAAGAUCAAACUUAUGUUGUGAGAUCAAUUCAAGAACAAUAUCGAAUAAAUAACUUCCUUUAAAUUGUCAAGGAAUUAAAUGACCUAAACGAGAGACUAACUGAUCAAGAAAUAAAGAAACUGGCUCUUUAAAUAUUGAAGAGGGGUAUGAAUACUUGUCUUAUCCUCCGGCUCCUAGCUGGGGUUUCUGUUACUACUAUAUAAUGCGCCAUCUUUCUUUUAGUUAGCUUCUAACAAUAAUAUAUCUACAUCAUAAUUUUGCUUUCUCGAAUGAUUCUUCACUCGUCUUGCAACACCCUUCGAUUGCUUCUGAUCAUCUUUGUUAUACACGUCUUGAUCGAUUCCCAAUAUUCGAAUCACACAGCCCCUUUAACUCAUCUCAUCUCCCCUGUUCUGUCUCAUCAUUGUAGGAGUCCCACUUGGCUCUACCGUCGCUAAGCAUCCCUAUACAAACGCGGCGACGCUUCCCUUAUUCCUCCGGCAUCAACCUACACCUUGUCAAUCGCGGCUCCCAUGACCACCGAUCACCACUUGCCGCCACGAAUCAGCGGCGUCACCGUCAUUACCCACCACCGAUUUCAGCCUCCGCCUCAAUCCACAACACACAACAAGCACAAUUCAUGUCUAAUAUACCUCAUCACAGUUUGAUAUACACGAAAUCAGCUCUCACUCGCUUGAAUCGACUCAACUGGAUGAAAAAGAUGAGAACCCUAGCUUGCCUUGUACUCUCCCCAACUCUACCGACUAUUCUCUCCUUAUUUACUCGGAGUGUUCUCCUAAUUAUAGUGCUUGUACUAAUCUAGUAGCCCCUUCUAUUUUCUUUUUCUUUUUUUUUAUUAAAACUGAAUUUAGGAUAAAAAUAUUUUUACAACAAUUAUAUGACUUUUAUAAACAUAUGCUUGAAUAUUCCUUCUAUUCGCAAAUAAUUUAAAUAAUCAUUUGCAAAAUCUUAAAUAUUUUUAAGUAAUUCAAAACAUAAAAUAAAACUGAUAGAGUAAUUGGUACAAAAUAAAUACCAAUUAAAAUUCUAGUCCAAGAAAAUAAUUUUAGAAUAUCUACAAUAAUAAAAUCAAAAUUCACUAAAUCAAGAUCGAUUACACGAACUAAUUUAAAUCACAUGAUGCGCAAACAUAUAAAACACAUCAAACAAUUAAUCACAUAAUCACAUAACUUCACAUAACUUGCACAUAAUUUUUAUUACUCACAUAAUCACUUAAAUAAAAUAUAUUCGAUAUCCCACUGGCUCGGAAAGUAAUUAAAUAAAUAAUUUUAGAAACUCAUCAACUAGAAUAAAAUAUAAAAUUUUAUUCCUCUUUUUUUUAUGUUUUAAAUCGUGAAUAUAAAAUAUAAAAUAAUUUCUGAAAUACGGGUCGUCACAUAUGUGCACCAAUCAUUUUUCUUUUUUUUGGAUAUCUUUGUUGUAACUCGUGAAUUAUGAAAGAAAAAACACCCUGAUAGUAAUAUUAUCAAUCUAACUACAAGCUCUAUCACUUUAACUAAGUACAAAAAUAUCAUGAAACAAAAAAAAUAAUCUUAACAUUGUCAAUACGAAUUAAUCUUUUUAAUAUAGAGACAUAUAGACAUAUCUUGUUCAACACUUACGUUUUAAACUUAAUAAAUGGAUCAGCAUAGUAUGAUCUUGAUGACUUAUAUCGAUAACUCACAAUGAAAUACAUAAUAUUAGCUACUCGUUAA
rnacentral:lncRNA from 1 species